rnacentral:rRNA from 1 species
AGAGAGAGACAUGCGCGCAUAUCAAUAAGCGGAGGAAAAGAAACUAACUAGGAUUCCCUCAGUAACGGCGAGUGAAGCGGGAAGAGCUCAAAUUUGAAAUCUUCAAGGUUCUACCUUGACGAAUUGUAGUUUAAAGAAGUGUUUUCUGUUGGAGUUUUGGUAAAAGUUCUUUGGAAUAGGACAUCAUAGAGGGUGAGAAUCCCGUAUUUGACCUUUACUUUCAACUUUGUGAUACACUUUCAAAGAGUCGGAUUGUUUGGGAAUGCAGUCCAAAAUGGGUGGUAAAUUUCAUCUAAAGCUAAAUAUUGGCGAGAGACCGAUAGCGAACAAGUACCGUGAGGGAAAGAUGAAAAGAACUUUGAAAAGAGAGUUAAACAGUACGUGAAAUUGUCAAAAGGGAAGCGUUUGACACCAGCUGUUGUUUUUCUGAAAAUCAAUUAAAGAACUGUUUAUGCUAAGUCUGUUUAGACUUUAUCAGCUAACUGUUUAGUUUUGAGCUUUUCUUUAAUGCACUUUUCAGUUAACAAGUCAACAUCAAUUUCUUUUGCUGUAAAAAAGCUUGAGGAAGGUGGCUUGAGAUUCGUCUUAAGUGUUUAUAGCCUCUUGCCUAUGCAGUCGGAGAGAUUGAGGUCUGCAGCGUAGAUCCUUCGGGGCUAAAUGCAUUUGUGCUAAGUUAUAGCAUUUUAUAGACAACUUGUUGACUAUGAUUUGUCUUGUAGCUUACUCGCUUAUGUUAUUUUACCUACGCUUAGGAUGUUGAGCGCAUGUCUCUCUCU